rnacentral:snRNA from 1 species
UUGUUUUGGCAACACAGAUUCAAACACUGGAACAAUACAGAGGCAGGGCCCCUGUACAAGGAUGACACGCAAAUGCAUGAAGAAUUCCAUAUUAAA